rnacentral:rRNA from 1 species
GACAGAGGGUGCAAACGUUGUUCGGAAUUACUGGGCGUAAAGCGAGUGUAGGCGGUUUGGUAAGUCGGAUGUGAAAGCCCCGGGCUCAACCCGGGAAGUGCACUCGAUACUGCCAAGCUAGAGUAUCGGAGAGGUUGGUGGAAUUCUCGGUGUAGAGGUGAAAUUCGUAGAUAUUGGGAGGAACACCAAUGGCGAAGGCAGCACCCUGGGCCGGUACUGACGCUGAGGAGCGAAAGCGUGGGGAGCAAACAGG